UUUUUUUUUUUUUUUUUUUUUAAGGACAGAUAAUGGCUUUGUUUAGCUCAUUAUGCCCUUCCUUCUGUGUUUGGCCUACAUUUGCAGAAGGCUGACAUCUUCUAUUAAGUAAGGACCAGACAGGAAAUAUUAUGGUGGAGAUGGGUGGAUGGGGCAAGGGUUUGGGGAGUGCUGGUCAACUGGGUACAUCCCUGGGGAGUGGCAGCAGAGUGGGGAGGGAAUUGAGGGAGAACUGUUUAGAGAAGGGUGUCAGGGAAGUGAGUAAUAGGGAGGUCAGAGGAUGGAGCAAGGGAAUGUUGAAAGGGAACGGAUAUGCUCUGUGGGCAGGUAGUAAACUAUCUGAAUGGGAGGACAGGGAGGGCUAGCACCGAGCAACAGGGAGGGUACUCCGAGGUGCUGAUGUGUCAGAUGGAAAAUGGGGUUGGAUGUGUGUGGGUGGAGGAACAGAGGUACCCCAAACCAACUCCAGAUGCCAUUCAUUUUAAUGAAAUCCUUCUUGUUAGGCUUCUGCCAUCAGAAACGGAUGCUAUGCUCACCCCAGGGUUUAUUUAUUUAUUUAUAUUUGGCCACUAAUGCAAGCUGGCAUGCAUUAGGUUUCCGAGCCAGGGUUGGAACCUGCACCACAGCAGUGACAACACCAGAUCCUUAGCCACCAGCUGGGCCACCAAGGAACUCCCCCUUCGGUUUAUUUUUAAUUCCAGAAAAUAAUACCCCCUUUGUUUUCCCUCAAAGACAAAAGACACAAUUUAAAUUCAGGUAAACUUGAAGAUUACGAUAUUUGGAGUUCCUGCUGUGACGCAACAGGAUCAUUCGUGUCUCUGGAGCACUGCAGCGAAGGUUCGACCCCCACCCCCCGGCACAGUGGGUUAAGGUUCCCGCAUUGCAUUGCCGCAGCUGCUCUGUAAGUUGGGAACUCCAUGAAAGAAAAGAAAAAAAAGAGGAUUAUGAUAUUUGAAAAAAAUUCAAAGUCCUGGGCCCUUCCGCUGUGAGGCAUCAUUCCAAUGUCACAUUCUGCUUAGGGAGGUUGCCUUCACAUGGUCAAGCCAACCUUUCACUCUUCUGUUGAUUGACCUGGUUUGUUGAUAAUUUGUUACUGCAACCUUCCUGUAACUGUUUCUAGAGUUGUUUGAGGAAAAAGGAGACUGGCACACAGAGAUUUCUCACACCCCACUAGCUUCUAUAGUUAAGGCAAAAUUAAGCAACGUAGACAUCAAAGCUUCACUUCCUAUUGAUCUAGGUUUUUCAGGCCUCCCCAUUUUUCAGUAUCCUAGUCUCCAGGGGAUUCUAAAUUUUCUCUCCUUUUGAGAAGAACUCUUCUUGAACAGGCACCCCUCCCUCAAGUCUUCAACACAACUCUAAGGAAAGAAUGUCUACAGUUCUGCUGCUUUUGAAGCAUAAAAGAGAAACCCAAACUUCUUUGAGAUUCCCCUCGAUUUGGGAGUUUACUCCAAGAGUGGGAAAUUUUUCCUCGCUAGGAUUUGCUCCUGUCUCCUGGGCAAGGCAGUUUGUUCAGUGGUUGUUCUGUGGGCUGCUGUCUGGAGGAGACGGCGGUUCCGGAGGUCACCCUGACAAUUAUGGCCAAGUAAGGGUGGAGGGAGUGGUCUGGGUUUGGCUCUCAGUCUGCACUUACAGACGGCACGGAGAGAUCUUGGCUCAGGACCUGGGGCUGAGGCGUGCUGGGACAGCCUAGGGGGUGUCCUGGCUUUCCAGGGGCUGGGGAACCCUCUCUAGCCCGGGGGCGGGAGACGCUUUUCCAGAAUCGGUUCUGCCUCUCCUGCCGCCUCAGCACUUUCUAAUUCCAGCACCAAACAACAACAGCCCCAGAUGCAGCCAUAGCAACAGACCCCGCCCACUCGGCCUCGCUCCCGGCAUGCAGCACGUGACGGCGACGCCUGCGUCGCUCCCUCCGCCCCUGGCGCGACGGGAGGGCGGGGAGAAGGGGGCUGGAAAUGACGUUGACGCAGUCGUCUCCAUGGAUAUAAUGCAUAGACGUCAACGUCGCCCAGUGUUUAGUGUGUAAUGUUCCUCCGUCUCCAUGGGAACGUCAGGCGGCCAAACACCGACCCCAGCAACAGGCUUCUAAUUGGCCCGGAGCUUCCAAAGGCGGAGCUUUAUCUCCCGCGCCAGCUCUACUGUGUUGCUGUUUUGGUUGUUUCUCUCCCACUUGUUUAUUUCUCUAACAGAUCUUAGAGGCUGAGGUCUGGAUCUGUUGCCAAGGGUGCGAUCCAGGAGAAAACGUGCUCAACGUGCAGCUUGCCCCUACAGAUUACAGCCCAACAGAUGACAUGGUUCCCUUGUGACCAAGGCCCUUCUGGGAGUCACGGGCCUCCGCCAGGGCGCCAGUCACAGCCCAAUACUUGAUCUUUCACCCUCUGACCCCACCCCGCAUCACAUCAGAGACUAUUACCCGCUCAGCCUCAUCCCAGAGACUGCUUUGCCUUCAUACACUUGUUUAUGAUCUCAAACCCAGAAGAUGGCCUUUCAUACCUAAUGCCAGGAUUCAGUGCUACUCCCCUCAGGAUUUGGCUACAUUUUUCUCUCUGGUCCUAAUUCUGUUGAAUGACAUCAUUUAUCCGUAUUCCCAACCAUUGAUACCCAGAUUUCUUGUAGCCUGAGCAGAUACCAAAAGAUCCCCAAGGACAUGGGUGGGUGCUUCUAUUCCUGGGCUAGUAGAAUCUUAUGCUUUUCUCCCUGCUCAUUUUUAUUCAAAACGGGGUGGGGUGGCACCUGACUUCUCCAAAAGAGAUAGACAUAAACUGAGGACAGAGAUGGGGGAGUGGGUGGGGUAGAAUUCUCGCCUUAAAAUCCCAGACUUAGUGAUAUAUAUUACUAGUGUACUGAUGGAGUUAAACAUUCUGAGGCACAAAUAUCUCCAGAAAUAGUUUUAACCUACCAAGUUAACAUCUGGCAAGAGAUAGUGAUCUAGCCUCAGGGUUUUCAGUCAAGAUAUGCUCAAAAGAAUGCCUUAAAAUCUUAAGUUAUGGUGUCAAAUAUAAUAAAUCUUCACCACCUCAUGCACUUACAAGUCUGAAAUGUUUCAUAAAAGGUUUAGAUGACCCGAUAGUAUAUUUUCAAAACACACAGAGAGAAAGAGAGAGGGAUGCUGAUGCAAACCUCAAGUUAAGAACAAGAAAGUAAAAUUAUUCUUAGAUCGGAAUUGAUAGAGAGUACAGAGGAUAUCUGUUCUCUCCAUUCUAAUCUUAACCUACUACCUCCUCUCCCCCUUUAUCUACCCUGGUGAAUAGCUUUGCUAACUGUCCUUCCCCUACCCCUAAGCCAGCCUCACAGCCUAUAAUUUCCUUCAGGAGAUGUGAGCAAAAUUAAAUGAAAUUGGGUGGCUGCUUAAUGCAAAUAGGACCAAAGGGCACACAGCUCUUUAUCAUAAUGAACUUCAUUCUGAUUAAGUCACAGGAAUCGCAAGUGCUUACUAUUUACCCAGUAAAUAUGUUAAAUUGCCAGGCAAGUCUCCUUCUUGUCCUGACACUGCCAGGGAAUAUUUGAAAGUCUGAUAUAAGAUCAUUUUUAAAUGAUCAAACACGGUUUUCUAGUUCUGUCUUCACCCUUUAUGUUUCCAGGAAUCAGUGUCUUGGUCUCCGAGAGCCACUAUAUCUGGGUUAUACCAGAAGAGGAAUAACGAAGCAAUCUUUACAUUGUACAUUGAAAAUGACCUGAAGGAGUUCCCCUCAUGGAGCAGCAGAAACGAAUCCGGCUAGGAACCAUGAGGUUGUGGGUGCGAUCCCUGGUCUCGCUCAGUGGGUUAAGAAUCUGGUGUUGCUGUGUGCUGUGGUGUAGGGUUUUUUUUUGUUUGUUUGUUUUUUCUAGGGCUGCAUUUGUGGCAUAUGGAGGCUCACACUAGGUAAUUCUUGUAAAAGAGCUUUGAAAACCAGAAAGCCAAAGAGUUUUUUGUUUUUUUCUUUUGCUUUCUUAGGGCCUCACCUGUGGCAUAUGGAGUGGCCCUAGAAAAGGCAAAAAAACAAAAAAACCAAAACUUGAACUGACAUAGGUUUCCCACUUAUAAUUUUAGUGGUUGGCAAUGAUUACCACUUAUUAUUGCCAUCACUUCACAAAUGAAAGGGCAUAUUAGUACUCAAAAAGUCAAGAAAACACAACCUAAGACUGAAGACAGCCCUUUUCUUUGUAUUUAGUUAUUUAUUUAUUUUU
rnacentral:lncRNA from 1 species